UGAGUUUGAUCCUGGCUCAGAACGAACGCUGGCGGCGUACCUAACACAUGCAAGUCGUACGAGAAAUUCCGAUUCGUCGGGAGAGUAAAGUGGCGAACGGGUGAGUAACACUAGGGUAAUCUCCCCUUAAAUAAGGGAUAACGUUGCGAAAGCGACGCUAAUACCUUAUAAGACUACGAUCUCUUAGGAGAUAGUAGGAAAAGAUGGCCUCUGUUUCUAGCUAUCGUUUAAGGAUGAGCCCUAGCACUAUUAGCUAGUUGGUGAGGUAAUGGCUCACCAAGGCGACGAUGGUUAGCUGGUCUGAGGGGAUGACCAGCCACACUGGAACUGAGACACGGUCCAGACUCCUACGGGAGGCAGCAGUGAGGAAUAUUGCGCAAUGGGGGCAACCCUGACGCAGUGACGCCGCGUGAGUGAUGAAGGCUUUCGAGUCGUAAAGCUCUGUUAGGUGGAAAGAAACAUUCCGGCGCUAAUAUCGCCGGGACUUGACGGUACCACCAGAGGAAGCACCGGCUAACUCCGUGCCAGCAGCCGCGGUAAUACGGAGGGUGCAAGCGUUGUUCGGAUUUACUGGGCGUAAAGGGCGUGUAGGCGGUUGGCUAAGUCAGAUGUGAAAUCCCUUGGCUUAACCAAGGAACGGCAUUUGAAACUAGCUAACUAGAGUACAGGAGAGGAAAGUGGAAUUCCCAGUGUAGAGGUGAAAUUCAUAGAUAUUGGGAGGAACACCGGUAGCGAAGGCGGCUUUCUGGCCUGAUACUGACGCUGAGACGCGAAAGCGUGGGGUAGCAAACGGGAUUAGAUACCCUGGUAGUCCACGCCGUAAACGAUGGGAACUAGGUGUAGGAAGUGUUGACCCUUUCUGUGCCGAAGCUAACGCAUUAAGUUCCCCGCCUGGGGAGUACGGUCGCAAGGCUAAAACUCAAAGGAAUUGACGGGGGCCCGCACAAGCGGUGGAGCAUGUGGUUUAAUUCGACGCUACGCGAAAAACCUUACCUGGGCUUGACAUGCUGGGAUUAGUCCUGAGAAAUCAGGAUGAUUGCCUUCGGGUGUAACCAGCACAGGUGCUGCAUGGCUGUCGUCAGCUCGUGUCGUGAGAUGUUGGGUUAAGUCCCGCAACGAGCGCAACCCUCGCUUUUAGUUGCCAUCAUUAAGUUGGGCACUCUAAAGGAACUGCCCCGGUUAACGGGGAGGAAGGUGAGGAUGACGUCAAGUCCUCAUGGCCUUUAUGCCCAGGGCCACACACGUGCUACAAUGGUUUGUACAAAUGGACGCGAACUCGCAAGAGCGAGCUAAUCCCAAAAAACAAACCUCAGUUCGGAUUGAAGUCUGCAACUCGACUUCAUGAAGUUGGAAUCGCUAGUAAUCCCAUAUCAGCAUGAUGGGGUGAAUACGUUCCCGGGCCUUGUACACACCGCCCGUCACACCACGAAAGUCGGCUGCACCAGAAGUCGUUAUACCAACCUUGUCCAAACGAGGAGGGAGACGCCUAAGGUGUGGUUGAUGAUUGGGGUGAAGUCGUAACAAGGUAGCCGUAGGAGAACCUGCGGCUGGAUCACCUCCUUUCU
rnacentral:rRNA from 1 species